AGAGUUUGAUCCUGGCUCAGAUUGAACGCUGGCGGCAUGCCUUACACAUGCAAGUCGAACGGUAACGCGGGGCAACCUGGCGACGAGUGGCGAACGGGUGAGUAAUGUAUCGGAACGUGCCCAGUUGUGGGGGAUAACUGCUCGAAAGAGCAGCUAAUACCGCAUACGACAUGAGGGUGAAAGCGGGGGAUCGCAAGACCUCGCGCAAUUGGAGCGGCCGAUAUCAGAUUAGGUAGUUGGUGGGGUAAAGGCCCACCAAGCCAACGAUCUGUAGCUGGUCUGAGAGGACGACCAGCCACACUGGGACUGAGACACGGCCCAGACUCUUACGGGAGGCGGCAGUGGGGAAUUUUGGACAAUGGGCGCAAGCCUGAUCCAGCCAUGCCGCGUGCGGGAAGAAGGCCUUCGGGUUGUAAACCGCUUUUGUCAGGGAAGAAACGCUCUGGGUUAAUACCUCGGGGUAAUGACGGUACCUGAAGAAUAAGCACCGGCUAACUACGUGCCAGCAGCCGCGGUAAUACGUAGGGUGCAAGCGUUAAUCGGAAUUACUGGGCGUAAAGCGUGCGCAGGCGGUUAUGCAAGACAGAGGUGAAAUCCCCGGGCUCAACCUGGGAACUGCCUUUGUGACUGCAUAGCUAGAGUACGGUAGAGGGGGAUGGAAUUCCGCGUGUAGCAGUGAAAUGCGUAGAUAUGCGGAGGAACACCGAUGGCGAAGGCAAUCCCCUGGACCUGUACUGACGCUCAUGCACGAAAGCGUGGGGAGCAAACAGGAUUAGAUACCCUGGUAGUCCACGCCC
rnacentral:rRNA from 1 species